UACAGAGGUGGCAAGCGUUGUUCGGAAUUACUGGGCGUAAAGGGCGCGUAGGCGGCCUUGUAAGUCCUGUGUGAAAUCCCCCGGCUCAACUGGGGAACUGCACAGGAGACUGCUUGGCUUGAGUUCGGGAGAGGGAAGCGGAAUUCCGGGUGUAGCGGUGAAAUGCGUAGAGAUGUGGAGGAAUACCGAUGGCGAAGGCAGCCCCCUGGGAUAACACUGACGCUCAUGCACGAAAGCGUGGGGAGCAAACAGG
rnacentral:rRNA from 1 species